GAGCUGGGUCACGUCUGUCCUGCUCUCUCGUGAGGUCACUGCAAGGGGACACUGUGCCCCCUCCAGGUGAGGCUUUUCCCCGGGGUCCCUCCUGGCUUCCCUGGUCACAGGCAUGCGGCCAGGUGGCGCAGCGCCUCCACAUCGCAGCUCCCUGAGCCCCACAGCUCACUCUCUCCGCACACUUCUCCUCCCCAUCCUGCACGCCGCACGCCGCCCGCUCCCAGGGCUCGCCCCCAGUGUAACAGGCAGGUGUUCCUCGCAGGUGAGGCCCUGAUGGAGGCUGCCCAGAGGAACGACUUCUGUAAGCUGCAGGAGCUGCACCGAGCUGGAGGGGACCUCCUGCACCGUGACCCACGAGAGCCUGCACGCCUCCCUGCACUGACGCAGUCAGCGCAGGCAGCAAGGAAGUGGUCCGCUACCUGCUGGACCACGGUGAGCCCGCCAGCGCCUGAGGCCAGUGGGGAGACCUGUCUGCAUCAGGCGCAGCCCUGGGCCAGCGCACUAUCUGCCACUUCAUCGUGGAAGCAGGGGCGCCGCCUGAUGAAGACAGACCAGCAGGCGAGCAGCCUCUCCCAGGGGCAGGGGGCACUGGGCCACCCUUCGAGUUUGAAGCUGUCCUCAGCCAACACAGCCUAGACCCUGAGACCUGAGCCGGAAGGCUUCCAAAAAUCUUCGGGAUACCUGAUCGCAGCUUCCUCCGUUCCCAGGGUGACACCCGCCUGGCAGCGGCCGGCAGAAGGCGCAGGACACAGAGCUGGCCGCCACCUGGAGAAUCGACAGCACUACCAGAUGAUCCAACGCGAGGACCAGGAGACGGCCGUGUAGCCCCGGCCUCCGGCCACAUUCCAGUGCGGGCAGAGGGAGGGGGACCCUCCAAGGAAGGAGCUGCCUGAUGACGAGGCUGGACUCUGCGCAGCUGGGGCUGUCACCAGUCCCCCUGAGGCCCCCGCCUGCCCCCAGGGCUUACAGGGAGUAGGAACUCGGGACGGGCAGGGCGACUGCAGG
rnacentral:lncRNA from 1 species